rnacentral:tRNA from 1 species
GCACUCGUAGCUCAAUUGGAUAGAGCAUCAGAUUUCGAAUCUGAGGGUUGGGAGUUCGAUCCUCUCCGGGUGCACCA